AUUGAACGCUGGCGGCAGGCUUAACACAUGCAAGUCGAACGAGUGGCGGACGGGUGAGUAAUGCUUGGGCAUCUAGCUUAUGGAGGGGGAUAACUACGGGAAACUGUAGCUAAUACCGCGUACCAUAGGCUGAGCCCAAGUGGGAUUAGGUAGUUGGUGAGGUAAAGGCUCACCAAGCAGACCAUCUCUAGCUGGGCUGAGAGGAUGACCAGCCAAACGGGGACUGAGACACGGCCCAGACUCCUACGGGAGGCAGCAGGGGGGAAUAUUGGGCAAUGGGGGGAACCUGACGCAGCAACGCCGCGUGAGUGAUGACGGCCUUCGGGUUGUAAAGCUCUGUUGAUCGGGACGCGGUACCGGAAUAGAAAGCCACGGCUAACUACGUGCCAGCAGCCGCGGUAAUUC
rnacentral:rRNA from 1 species